rnacentral:rRNA from 1 species
CAACAGUUGCGGGCUGGCCUUAUAAUUGCAAGUCGAGCGGACAGAUGGGAGCUUGCUCCCUGAUGUUAGCGGCGGACGGGUGAGUAACACGUGGGUAACCUGCCUGUAAGACUGGGAUAACUCCGGGAACCGGGGCUAAUACCGGAUGGUUGUUUGAACCGCAUGGUUCAAACAUAAAAGGUGGCUUCGGCUACCACUUACAGAUGGACCCGCGGCGCAUUAGCUAGUUGGUGAGGUAACGGCUCACCAAGGCGCGAUGCGUAGCCGACCUGAGAGGGUGAUCGGCCACACUGGGACUGAGACACGGCCCAGACUCCUACGGGAGGCAGCAGUAGGGAAUCUUCCGCAAUGGACGAAAGUCUGACGGAGCAACGCCGCGUGGUGAUGAAGGUUUUCGGAUCGUAAAGCUCUGUUGUUAGGGAAGAACAAGUACCGUUCGAAUAGGGCGGUACCUUGACGGUACCUAACCAGAAAGCCACGGCUAACUACGUGCCAGCAGCCGCGGUAAACGUAGGUGGCAAGCGUUGUCCGGAAUUAUUGGGCGUAAAGGGCUCGCAGGCGGUUUCUUAAGUCUGAUGUGAAAGCCCCCGGCUCAACCGGGGAGGGUCAUUGGAAACUGGGGAACUUGAGUGCAGAGAGGAGAGUGGAAUUCCACGUGUAGCGGUGAAAUGCGUAGAGAUGUGGAGGAACACCAGUGGCGAAGGCGACUCUCUGGUCUGUAACUGACGCUGAGGAGCGAAAGCGUGGGGAGCGAACAGGAUUGAUACCCUGGUAGUCCACGCCGUAAACGAUGAGUGCUAAGUGUUAGGGGGUUUCCGCCCCUUAGUGCUGCAGCUAACGCAUUUAUGCACUCCGCCUGGGGAGUACGGUCGCAAGACUGAAACUCAAAGAAUUGACGGGGGCCCGCACAAGCGGUGGAGCAUGUGGUUUAAUUACAAAGCAACG